rnacentral:rRNA from 1 species
GGUUAAGCGACUAAGCGUACACGGUGGAUGCCCUGGCAGUCAGAGGCGAUGAAGGACGUGCUAAUCUGCGAUAAGCGUCGGUAAGGUGAUAUGAACCGUUAUAACCGGCGAUUUCCGAAUGGGGAAACCCAGUGUGUUUCGACACACUAUCAUUAACUGAAUCCAUAGGUUAAUGAGGCGAACCGGGGGAACUGAAACAUCUAAGUACCCCGAGGAAAAGAAAUCAACCGAGAUUCCCCCAGUAGCGGCGAGCGAACGGGGAGGAGCCCAGAGCCUGAAUCAGUGUGUGUGUUAGUGGAAGCGUCUGGAAAGGCGCGCGAUACAGGGUGACAGCCCCGUACACAAAAAUGCACAUGCUGUGAGCUCGAUGAGUAGGGCGGGACACGUGGUAUCCUGUCUGAAUAUGGGGGGACCAUCCUCCAAGGCUAAAUACUCCUGACUGACCGAUAGUGAACCAGUACCGUGAGGGAAAGGCGAAAAGAACCCCGGCGAGGGGAGUGAAAAAGAACCUGAAACCGUGUACGUACAAGCAGUGGGAGCACGCUUAGGCGUGUGACUGCGUACCUUUUGUAUAAUGGGUCAGCGACUUAUAUUCUGUAGCAAGGUUAACCGAAUAGGGGAGCCGAAGGGAAACCGAGUCUUAACUGGGCGUUAAGUUGCAGGGUAUAGACCCGAAACCCGGUGAUCUAGCCAUGGGCAGGUUGAAGGUUGGGUAACACUAACUGGAGGACCGAACCGACUAAUGUUGAAAAAUUAGCGGAUGACUUGUGGCUGGGGGUGAAAGGCCAAUCAAACCGGGAGAUAGCUGGUUCUCCCCGAAAGCU